CAAUAGCGUAUAUUAAAGUUGUUGCAGUUAAAAAGCUCGUAGUUGGAUUUGUGGCGUACGGUGUGUUCCGGGCACUUGUUGUCUGAGUAACCUGCUGUUGCCAUCCUUGGGUGGAACCUGUGUGGCAUUAGGUUGUCGUGCAGGGGAUGCCCAUCAUUUACUGUGAAAAAAUUAGAGUGUUCAAAGCAGGCUUAUGCCGUUGAAUAUAUUAGCAUGGAAUAAUGAGAUAGGACUUUUUUGCUAUUUUGUUGGUUUGCGCAAGAAGGUAAUGAUUAAUAGGGACAGUUGGGCGUAUUCGUAUUCCAUUGUCAGAGGUGAAAUUCUUGGAUUUUUGGAAGACGAACUACUGCGAAAGCAUUUACCAAGGAUGUUUUCAUUAA
rnacentral:rRNA from 1 species